rnacentral:lncRNA from 1 species
AAAAUAGGAUGCCGUCAGCCAGAGAGUGGGGUCAUUCUCUCCUAGGUGGCCUCACCUUCCUCGAGAAUUGUUCUGCCCUACCCUUCACUGAGACCACCGAGGCCCCGGGGGUCGAAGAGGAAGGAGACCUAGAAGAAAAAGAGCCUGCAAGAGAGAAGCCCCGGGAGUUUGCUGACUCAGGAACCGUUGGAUUUCUUCUCGGACAAAUGUGC